rnacentral:lncRNA from 1 species
CGAAGAGUUACCGGUGACAGUGGACUGGUUUGGGUUGGCAGCAAUGCUCGGAAAUGGUGCCCUAAAUCAUAUCAGAUAAAAAUUCGUUGUCCAAUACGAUAAACAAAUAAAACCAUAACUAUUACUUACGCUCUCUCUCGCUUGUAAAGAUGACGUAAUAUAUAUUUCCCCCAACCAAGUUGUGCAAGAGAGUGAAGGGACGUGACGUCAUGCGGGACAUUAGCAUAUUGCGGAGUAUAAUAGACUUUGAUUGACCAGCCCGCCUUCACUUGUGCUCUGCGCCAUCUGGAUCGACACUCAUUUGUAUCCAAUACACCUCCGCCAUUGAACAGGAGAAGCAAGCAACAGCAUGAAGCCCAAGCCUCCACUAUGCACUGUACAUUCCACGAGCAUUGCCUUUUUUUUUCUCACUUCUUUUAGCUGUAUAACUGUGUAACCAAAACCUAAGUUGCAUUGUAAUUGGACAAAAGCAGAAGCCUGUACAGCCUCCUACAACCCCUCCCUUUUACAUAAAGUCUGACAGGAAACAACUACUGACUGGCAGUCUGACUAGGAGGAUGUGUCGCUCGUCUCAUCCUGACUCACUCCAGUGCUCUGUCACCUGUCCCUGCCGUGUCCCUGCAUCCCGCCACUUGUGGUUGUGAAGGGAAGAGCAAGGGUGUGAUGGAUCAGUCCAACCAGGGACACACACUGCUGACAUCCUGUGUAGUUCAGCUUCUGGCCACCUGUGAAAUGCUUUCAAAUCAAGCAGUGUUUUGUUUUUGUGUUACUUGUUAAAUUGUUUUGGAUAAGUUCAAUUCUUGGAAUGCACAAGUUUGUUUUGAUAUGCAAUUAAAAAAAAUCUAACUGUUUGGUAUUGUAAUUUUCAUUUUGAAUAUGCUUACAUUUGUUUCAAGUGUCACAUUGUACACCUUGUUCUAAAUGAAUGUUCA